UAUAUAUUACAGACUAUCAAACCCAAAUAGCAACUUCAAACGCAUAAACUACUAACAAUGGGACUCAGAUUUCUCUACAAAUCCCAUCUCCUCCCUGCACUCUCUUCGCGCCAUAAAACUCUCCAUCAAACCCUUCUAUUCCAAUCCCUUAAUUCCCACUUGCACAGCCCUUCCAUUGAUGUUCCGCUUUACCAUAUAUCUAGAAGGUGGCAUUUUGGCCAUUCGCAUGACCACUCCGACAGCCGCCGCCACCGACCCUCCGGCCAAGAGGGUGAGAAAAUAUUCCGUUUGGGCCUUGCUUCUGAUAUUGGCUUAGCUGCUGGAAAAGCUUUGACCGGUUAUUUAUCAGGAAGCACUGCAAUUAUAGCUGACGCUGCACAUUCAGUCUCCGAUGUGGUUCUUAGUGGAGUUGCUUUAUGGUCAUUCAAGGCUGGGAAUGCUCCUAGAGACAAAGAACAUCCAUAUGGGCAUGGGAAAUUUGAGUCAUUAGGAGCCCUUGGAAUUUCUUGCAUGCUUUUGGCAACGGCUGGUGGUAUUGCUUGGCAUGCUCUAGAUAUUCUCAUUGGAUUGUUGUCUGUAUCUCCUGAAGCAGUAAAUCAUUCACUGCCUCAGGAACAUGUGAAUGGUCAUCAUCAUGGUGGACAUCAUCAUGGACUUGACAUGGAUCAUCCCAUCCUUGCGUUGAGCAUGACCAUUGUGUCGAUAUCGAUAAAAGAAGGGCUUUACUGGAUAACGAAACGAGCUGGGGAAAGGCAAGGCAGUGGACUUAUGAAAGCAAAUGCAUGGCAUCAUCGUGCAGAUGCCAUUUCAUCUGUUGUUGCACUUAUUGGGGUUGGGGGCUCUAUUCUUGGAAUUAAGUUUCUGGAUCCUCUUGCUGGACUUGUUGUCUCGGGCAUGAUACUGAAAGCUGGACUGGAAAUUGGAUACCAGAGUGUCUUUGAAUUGGUUGAUGCUGCAAUUCCAGCAGAAGAUUUGGAUCCUGUAAGGCAAACAAUACUUCAAGUUGAAGGUGUCAAGGGAUGCCAUCGCUUGAGAGGGAGGAGGGCUGGUUCAUCUUUACACCUUGAUGUACACAUUGAGGUUGAUCCUUUUUCUAGUGUUAGUGCUGCCCAUGGAAUUGGUGAGAAGGUCCGCCAGGAAAUUCACAAGUGCCAUCCUGGAAUAGCUGAAGUUUUUAUACACAUAGGUGUUUUUUGCUUAAAAAAUUACACGGAGCUGGGUGAUGACCAACAGAAAAUAUGCAAGGGGGGCCUCCUGUGGCUAUGCUGAAAGUUGUCCAAUCUGAAAAGAGGUUCUCAGUUGGUUCUCUGUACCUAUAAAUUUAACUGAUGUUAAAUUAAUCCUUUCAUUUUAAGCCUGUGAUUUCUUGAGCGCUAACUAAUGAUUGAUUUUGGAUAUGAGAAAUUGCACAACGACCAUAUACCUUCUUACUCAUUGUAUACUUAUCUCUAUGUUUCAUUAUCAUCACUGGAUAAGCAAAUACUUACUUAUCCCGUUUAGAAAAUUAGAAAUUGACGAGUAGCUAUCUAAUGCUAUCUGGUUCUUUUUUGCAACUUCAAUUUCUAAACGCACGCACACCUGAUUUCAUAAUUGUCUUCCUAUUAAAUUUUCCAAAAUGGAUGCAGAUCCUGCAUUUUUAGGCUUUUCUCCCUGCGAAAUAGACCUGCAUAAUAAUGUUGAAGAAACUGCAAAUGAGAAUAGAAAUGUUUCUUUGGAAGACAGGGACAUUGAAAUGAUCGUUUCCAAUGUUUUCCAGUCAAAAUUUCCAGAGAGAAUGGAGGUUGAGCGCAUAACACGCCACUGUCUGCAGAGCAAGAUGUUAGUUGAAAUUGAGGUUUCCAUGCCUCCUGAGAUAUUGAUACGAGAUGCAAAGGAGGUGGCGAAUGCAGCAGAAAAGGAAAUACUCAAGGCAGCCUCUAAUAUCAUGACAGUGCGGAUUCAGCUGAGGUUGGGACAUCCAUUUCCCAAGUUUGUCUAUGUCAAAGGGGAGCAUCAUUACUAAACUAACACUAUCUCUCGAUUAUAUUAGCAAUUUUUGCAUAAAUACAACUCUGAAUACAAUUUGUCUCCUUUCCAUUCGGAAUGAAGAAUGGAUAUAUCAGGUUCUUAUACUUGGAAUGUGGUGUUACAUUUAUAUAGACUCAAGUUCAAACUUGAAUUAUGAAUUAUUGUUUAAAGUAA